rnacentral:rRNA from 1 species
CGUGUAGGUUGUUAGGUAAGUCUUGUGUGAAAUCCCUGGGCUCAACCGAGGAAGUGCAUGGGAAACUACCUAGCUAGAAGAUGGUAGAGGAAGGUGGAAUUCCUAGUGUAGAGGUGAAAUUCGUAGAUAUUAGGAGGAAUACCGGUGGCGAAGGCGGCCUUCUGGACCAUUCUUGACACUGAGACGCGAAAGCGUGGGUAGCAAACAGGAUUAGAUACCCUGGUAGUCCACGCCGUAAACGAUGGGUACUAGAUGUUGCAGGAAUUGACCCCUGCAGUGUCGACGCUAACGCAUUAAGUACCCCGCCUGGGAAGUACGGCCGCAAGGUUAAA